rnacentral:sRNA from 1 species
CCAGGAGGUGGAGAGGGGAUAUUGGCCCUUUGGCCAGGAGGGUGGAAUGGAAGUUGAGGAGCCUGAGGUCCGUUUAGGCCGUCUCUUCCUGUACAAUUUCAAUGACAACAACUCUAUUCACCCUCUGGUCGAGGUCCAAAGAAAAGAUACUUCUGCAAUCCUGGACAUGAAAUGAUAUACAACCACUUACUGUUGUGUUACACUUGCCUGCAGUAACAUGCUGUAAGGUUUGUGGCAUAGGAGCAGUGGGCCGUACCAUAUAGUCAAGGUGUCACAUCCCGGUGGGUGGACAUGCCCUCUUGGGCUUGGCAGAUGCCAGUGGAUCCAUACAACUGCUCCGCCUGGUGGAAUAUGAGGAAGUCACCUCAUGUGUCACUAUAAGGGCUGAAGUGACAGGAUGUUCACUGACCUGUCAGUGAAUCUGAAAGUUCUCCAAUGACAGCCUGGGCAAGCAUUCUUAGGUUGAUGCUGGGGCCCAGAGUAGCAGUGAGCAUUCUGUGUGAAGAUGGCGUUUCUCACUGAUUAUUGGAAAAGCUUAAGAGCCACGUGCUGGAGCCAUUGUCCAGCCUUGCCCUGGAGGAGCAGUGUCUGGCUUUGUCCCUAGAUUGGUCCACUGGGAAAACUGGAAGGGCCGGGGACCAGCCCUUGAAGAUCAUCAGCAGUGACUCCACAGGGCAGCUUCACCUCCUGAUGGUGAAUGAGACGGGGCCCAGGCUGCAGAAAGUGGCCUCAUGGCAGGCACAUCAAUUCGAGGCCUGGAUUGCUGCUUUCAAUUACUGGCAUACAGAAAUUGUG